AUGACUUUCAUCACCAUCUUCAUCUGGACCCUUCUGUGUUUUUUUAAAGAGUCCAGAGGUCAGGUGACUGUGACUCAGACUCCUGCAGUGAAAUCUGCUCUUCCAGGAGACACAGUCACUAUCAACUGUAAAACCAGCCCUGAAGUGGAUGCUGGUGAUCAUCUACACUGGUACCAACACAAACCUGGAGAGGCUCCUAAACUCCUGAUUGAGUAUGUAAGUUACCGUCAGUCUGGAGUUCCAGAUCGUUUCAGUGGCAGUGGAUCUGAUACUGACUUCACUCUGACCAUCAGUAACAUCCAGACUGAAGAUGCAGGAGAUUAUUACUGUCAGAGUCUACAUUACAUCAGUAACAAAUAUGUGUUCACACAGUGA